UAUUUUUUUUAUUUUUAUUUUUAUUUUUUUAAAGAUUUUAUUUUUUCCUUUUUCUCCCCAAAGCCCCCCAGUACAUAGUUGUAUAUUUCUCGUUGUGGGUUCUUCUAGUUGUGGUAUGUGGGACGCUGCCUCAGCGUGGUCUGACGAGCAGUGCCAUGUCCGCGCCCAGGAUUCGAACCGACGAAACACUGGGACGCCUGCAGCGGAGCGCGCGAACUUAACCACUCGGCCACGGGGCCAGCCCCAAACAUGGUUUUAUUUUUAAAUGACAGAAUAAUAAAAGCAGGAUAAAAAUGGGAAUAAAAUGGGAGAAAAAUUCAAUUCCAAUACUAAGGGGGAAAGUCCAAACAAUCAAGAAAAUAAACUCUUCAAAUAUCUGAUACAAACCACAGAAUGCGGGGCCCUAGUUAACUGCACAUAUUUUAUGGAAAUUUGAAAUGAUUAGGUUUACUAAACUGAAAGGAGACAAGGGAAGGACUAGACGUGAUUUUGGAUGGGCCUCAAGUAGGGGGCUCCAAAUGGGAACGUAGUAGACGGGGCUAAGUGGAGCCCCCAGGUCCUAUUGCCACCUCUCUGAAAUUUGACUUGCAGAGAAUCUGUACAAAUGCUCAGAACACAUGACUUCCUCUCCUGAGCCUCAGUUUCCACAGCCCUGAAAUGGGGAUCAUUAAAACUAUUUCUGAGAGCAUAACAGGAGCAGCAUCAAAAUUCCCUGGUAAACCCUGGCUUAUGGAAGUGUAAGGGCACAACAAUGUUGAUAUGAUGCUCAAAUGUUGAUAGAGUAGGGAAGUUUGCUUGUUGUGAUUCUGUGGUUUUGCAUACCUGCUUUUGGCAAUAAAUGACAAAAACAUUCCACAAAAAAGAGUAGAAAUUCUCUUCAAAAGGGAGUAGAGAGAGGUAUUUAACAACCUGGCAAAAUAACCAUACAUCUUGCUGCCUUGCCAGACCAGUAACCAAACCAUUAAUUUAAAGGGAAAAACCAGGGGGAAAAAGUGCAGUUUUUUAGAAUAAUGGAAUCCCAGUGUGCCAUACAUCUUCUGUGCAAUUAUCUAAGCAGUUUCUUGUUUAGGAUGCUUUCUGGAAGACAGGGGUCACUGGUCAGGUUAGGCAGCUGCUAACUUGAACUGCUUCAUUUCACAUUGUUCCCAAAGAUGUUACCUGGAGGUGGGCAUCAACCUGCAAAACAAGAAAGGUGAGUUCAACUCUCAGUUCUGCUCUUACUCCACUGAGAGGCCUCAGACACAUCCCAUCCCCGCUCUGGGUUUCAGACUUUUCAUCUAUAAAAUGAAGGUUUGAGCCAUCAUUUUUAAUCCUGUGUCUCUCAUUAUAGCUAUUGAGUUUGGCUUGUUUGCUUCCUAACACACCUGUGUGUGAAAUCUUCAAGUAAUGGGAGAGGCUGAUCUGCCCAGGUAUGAUACCGAAUGGCAGAUACCUUGGCUUCCUCGUCUUCUUUGGGCCAUUCCGGGAGUAGAUGAAAUAAAGACAGCUAACUGAGGGUCCUAGUCCAGGAUAUUUUCCAUUUGUCAAUUGCCUUCCUUUUUCAUUUCUCUUUCUGCA
ensembl:lncRNA